UACGUAGGGUGCGAGCGUUAAUCGGAAUUACUGGGCGUAAAGCGUGCGCAGGCGGUUCGUUGUGUCGGCGGUGAAAGCCCCGGGCUCAACCUGGGAAUGGCCGUUGAAACUGGCGAACUGGAGUGUGGCAGAGGGGGGUGGAAUUCCGCGUGUAGCAGUGAAAUGCGUAGAGAUGCGGAGGAACACCGAUGGCGAAGGCAGCCCCCUGGGCUGACACUGACGCUGAGGCACGAAAGCGUGGGGAUCAAACAGG
rnacentral:rRNA from 1 species